AUUGAACGCUGGCGGCAGGCCUAACACCUGCAAGUCGAACGAGUGGCGGACGGGUGAGUAAUGUCUGGGAAACUGCCUGAUGGAGGGGGAUAACUACUGGAAACGGUAGCUAAUACCGCAUACCAUCGGAUCUGCCCAGAUGGGAUUAGCUAGUAGGUGGGGUAACGGCUCACCUAGGCGACGAUCCCUAGCUGGUCUGAGAGGAUGACCAGCCACACUGGAACUGAGACACGGUCCAGACUCCUACGGGAGGCAGCAGUGGGGAAUAUUGCUCAAUGGGCGCAAGCCUGAUGCAGCCAUGCCGCGUGUAUGAAGAAGGCCUUCGGGUUGUAAAGUACUUUCAGCGGGGAGGCGUUACCCGCAUAAGAAGCACCGGCUAACUCCGUGCCAGCAGCCGCGGUAAUAC
rnacentral:rRNA from 1 species